rnacentral:rRNA from 1 species
AGUGAACGCUGGCGGUAGGCCUAACACAUGCCAGUCGAACGGCAGCACAGUAAGAGCUUGCUCUUACGGGUGGCGAGUGGCGGACGGGUGAGGAAUACAUCGGAAUCUACUUUUUCGUGGGGGAUAACGUAGGGAAACUUACGCUAAUACCGCAUACGACCUACGGGUGAAAGCAGGGGAUCUUCGGACCUUGCGCGAUUGAAUGAGCCGAUGUCGGAUUAGCUAGUUGGCGGGGUAAAGGCCCACCAAGGCGACGAUCCGUAGCUGGUCUGAGAGGAUGAUCAGCCACACUGGAACUGAGACACGGUCCAGACUCCUACGGGAGGCAGCAGUGGGGAAUAUUGGACAAUGGGCGCAAGCCUGAUCCAGCCAUACCGCGUGGGUGAAGAAGGCCUUCGGGUUGCAAAGCCCUUUUGUUGGGAAAGAAAAGCAGCAGGUUAAUACCCCGCUGUUCUGACGGUACCCAAAGAAUAAGCACCGGCUAACUUCGUG